UUACGUACUAGUUGUCAGUGUCCUAGAGAUGAAACAAUGCUAGCUGAUUAUCCUACCUCUGUUAAUACUACCUGAGGAAUGAUUUUUUUUAAAGCGCUACCCAUUUCUCCCUCCCUCGACCUUUCUCCCCUCAAGGCGAUCGAUAUUUUCCGUGCUUCUUCUCCAUCGUAUUCUCCGUCUGCGUUUUUUCUUCUCGGCGACCGCAUUUUUUUUCUUUGGCAUACUCUCCGUCUGCGGUGUGUUUUCUUGUUUUUUCUUACUGCGUUUUUUUUUCUUCAUCGUACCUUCUAUUCUUUUCCGAAAAAAUUUUGAACCCAUUUUUUUUUCCCAAAACAUUUUUUAGAUAAAUGUUACGAUCUCCACAUUUUCUUUUGUCUACAUUGCAAAUAAUGAUUUUGGCAGUUACCUUUGAAACGGUUUUUUUUUAAUCAAAAUCCUAGUUUAUCCUAUAUAAAGACUUUUUUGUUCAUAGCAGUUGUCGGAAGACUGUAAGUCGUUGGUUUCUUCUCUAUAUGUUAUUCUCAGGUAUUUCCUAUUGACAUCAUUAUUUAGAACUUGAAUGUUUUUAUUUUUCUCUGUUAUUGAUUUUAUCGGUUCUUAUUUUUUUUGUUCUUUAUUCUCUUAAAAAUCGGAUGUUUGUUUUUUUAUUUUUGAUAAUCGCAUGUUUGUUUUUUUCGCUAUCUCACUUAUUUGUCUAAAAAAUCUGAUGUCUGUUUAUAACGUUUUGUGUUUUUCUCUGUAUUUGAACAUGUUAUAUUUUUUUGGUUUCUAUUUUUUUUUAAAAUGUGUUGUUUUUUAUUUCUCUCUGUUGUUAUUUAUCUGUAUUUUUUAAUUUUUUAUAAUCACAUGUUCGUUUAGUUCACUAUUUUUUAUUUAUUUAAACAUUUAAUGUUUGUUUAUAUCUCGGUUUUCUUCAAUGUAGUUGCCAUAGAAAAUAUCUGUUAAUUUCCUGCUGGCCCAACGUCGGCGGUGAUAAUGCUGAUGUAUCCCUGAGCAUUGGAUGGAAGAAAUGGUUGGGCGUCGCCAUAUGGGAACUAGGGUUUUCCGCCUAGGAGAAAAGGGGCACCCAACUGAUAAAACGGUCACUAAGAAAAGAGAGGAAGAGAGAGUGAACUUUUGUUAAUCACUAAUGGUGAUUAACUUUGUAUUAGAGUAAUUAAAUCAUUGUUUAUCGAAUUGUAUUUAUACAUUUAAUCAGUGAAUGCUUAACUAACUAAUCUCUCACUAGUUAAUUAACAUUUAACUAAAUCUAAUACUAAACUUCACUUGUGGGCCGGACUUCACGCUGUGGUCUUCCAUGAGUCCAGUCUGUGGCUGUUAAUUCAGUUACGACAUUUCUGCAAGAACACAUAAGUUAUUCAUGAAUGACAACCAAGUCCUUCAUUUAAUUUGGUUUUAUUUUUGGGUCAUUUAACCAAGUAUCCUUAUAUGUUUAAUUAAUAAAGAACACUUGGAUAUUUAUAACCCAGUCCUUUCAUGAAUCUCUUUAACUGAUUUCGUAACGCCCUUUUAUUUAUUUUUAUUACGUUUGGGUCCUAAUAACGUUUUACUGAAACAUUUAUGAAUUAGACCCUGUUAGUUAAUUACGUACUAACAGUUAAUUCUGUUUUAACACGCCCUUUGGGUUGUGUUUAUUUCAAUUAG
rnacentral:lncRNA from 1 species